rnacentral:misc_RNA from 1 species
GAAAUGCGAUAAGUAGUGUGAAUUGCAGAAUUCAGUGAAUCAUCGAAUCUUUGAACGCACAUUGCGCCCCUUGGUAUUCCAUGGGGCAUGCCUGUUCGAGCGUCAUUUGUACCCUCAAGCUCUGCUUGGUGGUGGGUGUUUGUCCCCGUCUCCGCGCGUGGACUCGCCCCAAAGUGAUUGGCAGCCGGCGUACUGGUCCCGGAGCGCAGCACAUGUCGCGCAAACGAGUGCCUUGGUACGGCGGCGUCCAUAAGCCCCUCUCUCACGCUCUUGACCUCGGAUCAGGUAGGGAUACCCGCUGAACUUAAGC